AUGAACGCUGGCGGCGUGCCUAAUACCUGCAAGUCGAGCGAACGGACGAGAAGCUUGCUUCUCUGAUGUUAGCGGCGGACGGGUGAGUAACACGUGGAUAACCUACCUAUAAGACUGGGAUAACUUCGGGAAACCGGAGCUAAUACCGGAUGAUAUUUUGAACCGCAUGGUUCAAAAGUGAAAGACGGUCUUGCUGUCACUUAUAGAUGGAUCCGCGCUGCAUUAGCUAGUUGGUAAGGUAACGGCUUACCAAGGCGACGAUGCAUAGCUGACCUGAGAGGAGGACACGCGACACUGGGAAUGAGAGCCGGCCCAGAAUCGGACGGGAGGGAGCAGUGGGGAACAUUGAAAAGUGGGCGAAAGCCUGAUCCAGCAAUGCCCGGUGAGUGAUGAAGGCCUGAGGGGUGUAAAGCCCUGGUACCAGGGAUGAGAAUGACAGUACCGGGAGAAUAAGCUCCGGCUAACUCCGUG
rnacentral:rRNA from 1 species